rnacentral:rRNA from 1 species
UGGGGAAUAUUGGACAAUGGGCGAAAGCCUGAUCCAGCCAUGCCGCGUGUGUGAAGAAGGUCUUCGGAUUGUAAAGCACUUUAAGUUGGGAGGAAGGGCAGUAAGCGAAUACCUUGCUGUUUUGACGUUACCGACAGAAUAAGCACCGGCUAACUCUGUUCCAGCAGCCGCGGUAAUACAGAGGGUGCAAGCGUUAAUCGGAAUUACUGGGCGUAAAGCGCGCGUAGGUGGUUCGUUAAGUUGAAUGUGAAAGCCCCGGGCUCAACCUGGGAACUGCAUCCAAAACGGGCGAGCUAGAGUAGGGCAGAGGGUGGUGGAAUUUCCUGUGUAGCGGUGAAAGGCGUAGAUAUAGGAAGGAACACCAGUGGCGAAGGCGACCACCUGGGCUCAUACUGACACUGAGGUGCGAAAGCGUGGGGAGCAAACAGG